rnacentral:rRNA from 1 species
GACGAACGCUGGCGGCGUGCCUAAUACAUGCAAGUAGAACGCUGAAGCGAGGAGCUUGCUCUUCUUGGAUGAGUUGCGAACGGGUGAGUAACGCGUAGGUAACCUGCCUUGUAGCGGGGGAUAACUAUUGGAAACGAUAGCUAAUACCGCAUAACAAUGGAUGACCCAUGUCAUUUAUUUGAAAGGGGCAAAUGCUCCACUACAAGAUGGACCUGCGUUGUCUUUGCUAGUAGGUGAGGUAACGGCUCACCUAGGCGACGAUACAUAGCCGACCUGAGAGGGUGAUCGGCCACACUGGGACUGGGACACGGCCCAGACUCCUACGGGAGGCAGCAGUAGGGAAUCUUCGGCAAUGGGGGCAACCCUGACCGAGCAACGCCGCGUGAGUGAAGAAGGUUUUCGGAUCGUAAAGCUCUGUUGUAAGUCAAGAACGAGUGUGGGAGUGGAAAGUUCACACUGUGACGGUAGCUUACCAGAAAGGGACGGCUAACUACGUG